GGAAUAUUGCACAAUGGGCGCAAGCCUGAUGCAGCCAUGCCGCGUGAGUGAAGAAGGCCUUAGGGUUGUAAAGCUCUUUCGCCGGUGAAGAUAAUGACGGUAGCCGGAGAAGAAGCCCCGGCCAACUCCGUGCCAGCAGCCGCGGUAAUACGGAGGGGGCUAGCGUUGUUCGGAAUUACUGGGCGUAAAGCGCGCGUAGGCGGGCUGGUAAGUUGGGGGUGAAAUCCCGAGGCUCAACCUCGGAACUGCCCUCAAAACUGCCAAUCUUGAGUCCGGGAGAGGUGAGUGGAAUUCCUAGUGUAGAGGUGAAAUUCGUAGAUAUUAGGAAGAACACCAGUGGCGAAGGCGGCUCACUGGCCCGAGACUGACGCUGAGGCGCGAAAGCGUGGGGAGCAAAC
rnacentral:rRNA from 1 species